rnacentral:rRNA from 1 species
AGAGUUUGAUCCUGGCUCAGAACGUACGCUGGCGGCACGCCUAACACAUGCAAGUCGAACGAAGUAGCAAUACUUAGUGGCAGACGGGUGAGUAACAUGUAGGUAUCUGCCCUUUGGCCUGGAAUAACACGAGGAAACUUGUGCUAAUACCGGAUAAGUCUUUACGGAGAAAGCUUUAUGCACCAUUGGAUGAGCCUGCACUUGAUUAGUUUGUUGGUAGGGUAAUGGCCUACCAAGACUGUGAUCAAUAGCUGAUUUGAGAGGAUGAUCAGCCACAUUGGGACUGAGACACGGCCCAAACUCCUACGGGAGGCAGCAGUGGGGAAUCUUGCACAAUGGAGGAAACUCUGAUGCAGCGAUGCCGCGUGAGUGAAGAAGGCCUUUGGGUUGUAAAGCUCUUUCGUCGGGGAAGAAAAUGACUGUACCCGAAUAAGAAGGUCCGGCUAACUUCGUGCCAGCAGCCGCGGUAAUACGAAGGGACCUAGCGUAGUUCGGAAUUACUGGGCUUAAAGAGUUCGUAGGUGGUUGAAAAAGUUGGUGGUGAAAUCCCAGAGCUUAACUCUGGAACUGCCAUCAAAACUUUUCAGCUAGAGUAUGAUAGAGGAAAGCAGAAUUUCUAGUGUAGAGGUGAAAUUCGUAGAUAUUAGAAAGAAUACCAAUUGCGAAGGCAGCUUUCUGGAUCAUUACUGACACUGAGGAACGAAAGCAUGGGUAGCGAAGAGGAUUAGAUACCCUCGUAGUCCAUGCCGUAAACGAUGUGUGUUAGACGUUGGAAAUUUAUUUUCAGUGUCGCAGGGAAACCGAUAAACACACCGCCUGGGGAGUACGACCGCAAGGUUAAAACUCAAAUGAAUUGACGGGGACCCGCACAAGUAGUGGAGCAUGUGGUUUAAUUCGAAGAUACGCGCAGAACCUUACCAACACUUGACAUGUUCGUCGCGACUCUAAGAGAUUAGAGUUUUCGGUUCGGCCGGACGAAACACAGGUGCUGCAUGGCUGUCGUCAGCUCGUGUCGUGAGAUGUUGGGUUAAGUCCCGCAACGAGCGCAACCCUCACUUUUAGUUGCCAUCAUUAAGUUGGGCACUCUGAAAGAACUGCCAGUGAUAAGCUGGAGGAAGGUGGGGAUGACGUCAAGUCCUCAUGGCCCUUACGUGUUGGGCUACACACGUGCUACAAUGGCAUCUACAACAGGAAGCAAAACGGCAACGUUAAGCAAAUCCCGAAAAGAUGCCUCAGUUCGGAUUGCACUCUGCAACUCGAGUGCAUGAAGCUGGAAUUACUAGUAAUCGUGGAUCAGCGUGCCACGGUGAAUGCGUUCCCGGGUCUUGUACACACCGCCCGUCACACCAUGGGAGUUGGUUCUACCUUAAGGCAAGGUUUUAAACCCUUGACCACGGUAUAGUCAGCGACUGGGGUGAAGUCGUAACAAGGUAACC